GCGAUCCUACCAGCACUAAUGCACCGGAUCCCAUCAGAACUUUGCAGUUAAGCGUGCUUGGGCGAGAGUAGUACUAGGAUGGGUGACCUCCUAGAAAGUCCUCGUGUUGCACCUC
rnacentral:rRNA from 1 species